CCUUCCGCCGCCCAGUGCGCACGCUCGGCAGCGCCCCGCGGUUGCCAGGGAACAGGGGUGGGGAAGGGGCGCGUUGCCAUGGCGACGGCUGGCGGCCGUCAAGCGGAGCGGGAUGCCCAGCAGCAUCCCGGCGCCCCGCGGCCGGUACCGCAGGAAGGCGCAGAGCUCCGCAGCCGAGGAUGAGCUGCUGCUCGGGAAGAAGCAGCCCUCGCGCCUCGACAGCCCCAUUGUGCUCCUUCGGGAUGUGAGGACAGCCCCCAAAGCGCUGUCCCUUGGCAGGUACGAGCCUAAGACCACCCUAAUCAUCACCAAGGACUUCAUCCGGGAGCUCGUCACCACUGAGGAGAAGCCCCCAGCAUCCCUCAUCAUGACUCCCGAGGAUUUCCAGCGCAUUAAAGCAGCAGCUCAAGUGCUGACCAAGGAGGAGCGUGAGGCCAAGCUGGCAGCCCUCAAAGCAGCGAAGGAGGCCGCUCUCGAGGCAUCGAGGCAGCGCAAGGCAGCGGCGGUGCGGAAGCAGACGGGGAAGCUGAACGAGCUGGAGGAGGCGGCGCGGGAGCGGGCCCAGCACGUGCUGCAGCGGGCAAACAGGAUGCGCAUGGAGCAGGAGGAUGAGAUCAAGGAGUUCAGUGAGCUGAUCCUCGGUGCCAAGUGCCACAUGAUCCGCGACGCGCAGGUCCUGGAGAAACAGAUCAUUGCCAAGGAGCUGGCCGAGGAGGAGAAGCGCCUGGACAACAUGAUGGAGGUGGAGAGGAGAAAGGCCGAGGAGAUGCAGGAGGAGCUGGAGCGCAGGCGGAAGCAGGAGCUGAUCAGAGGGAGACAGGGGCUGGUGAGGCAGAUGGAGCAGAACGCGGAGGAGCGGGCUCUGAGGGCCGAGCAGAGGGACCAGGAGGCGCAGGAGAUGCUUCAGUACCUGGAGCGGCUGAAGCUGGAGGAUCUGAAGGACAUGGAGCGGAGGCAGGAGCAGCACAGGCAGAUCCAGGCUGAGAUUAAACGCAUCAACACCGAGAACCAGAAGCUCAAGGCGGAGCAGCGGGAGCUGGAGCGGCUGGAGGAUGAGCGCGUGCUCGAGUACCAGAGGCAGAAGCUGGAGCGCGAGGCCAAGCUGGAAGCCGAGCAGGAGCAAAUCCGCGUGGAGAAGGAGAAGGAGCUGGCGCGGCUCAGAGCCAUGCAGGAGAAGGCCCAGGACCACCAGGCAGAGCAAGACGCUCUGAGAGCCAAGCGCAGGCAGGAGGCUGCGGAGCGCGAGUGGCGGCGCAAGGAGACGGAGCUGGCACGGCUGAAGGCGGCGGCGGCGGCGCGGCUCGAGCAGAGCCGCCGGGAGCAGAUGGCGCAGCGGGAGCACGCCAUGGCCGUGCAGGCGCAGCAGGACCGCCACGAGUUCCAGAGGAUCCUCCGGGCGCAGCAGGAGCAGAUGGAGAAGGAGAAGGCCGAGGAGGAGCGGAAGGCAGCGGAGCGCCAGGCUCACGCCAGGGCCGUGCGGCGCCAGGCGCAGGAGCGGCAGCAGGAGCUGGCGCAGGAGCGAGCGGCCGCCUUCGAGGAGUUCAAGCACCUGCAGGAGGAGGCCCAGCGCCGGCACCAGCGCAUCGCCCGCUUCAAGGAGCAGAAGCUGCAGGAGCUCAGAGACUCUGGUGUGCCUGAGAAGUUCUGUGCCCAAGUGCAGCUGAGGGACCAGCACCGAGCGAUCGUAGCCUCAGGCCAGCUCUCCUCCUGGCCGUCAGGAUCAACAGCAAGGGCCGGGAGGUGCUGUACCUGGCCAAGGGCGACUCGGUGAAGCUGGGCUGUCCCUAUGUGCUCGAACCCGAAGACAACGGUCCCCAGGGCGUGGGCAUCGAGUGGAUCCAGAUCACGCCCGAGCGCACCGGCCCCGAGAACGUGUUCCUGUCCUACCAAGACCACCACGUGAACUACGGCAGCGGCUCGGGGCUGCAGGACCGCGUCGCCUUCGUGCAGACCGACCCCAGCCAGCACGACGCCUCCAUCCGCCUGGCGGACCUGCAGGUCUCCGACACCGGCAC